AACGAACGCUGGCGGCAUGCCUAACACAUGCAAGUCGAACGAAGGCUUCGGCCUUAGUGGCGCACGGGUGCGUAACGCGUGGGAAUCUGCCCCUCGGUUCGGAAUAACAGGUAGAAAUGACUGCUAAUACCGGAUGAUGACUUCGGUCCAAAGAUUUAUCGCCGAGGGAUGAGCCCGCGUAAGAUUAGGUAGUUGGUGGGGUAAAGGCCUACCAAGCCGACGAUCUUUAGCUCGUCUGAGAGGAUGAUCAGCCACUCUGGGACUGAGACACGGCCCAGACUCCUACGGGAGGCAGCAGUGGGGAAUAUUGGACAAUGGGCGAAAGCCUGAUCAAGCAAUGCCGCGUGAGUGAUGAAGGCCUUAGGGUUGUAAAGCUCUUUUACCAGGGAUGAUAAUGACAGUACCUGGAGAAUAAGCUCCGGCUAACUCCGUGCCAGCCGCCGCAGUAA
rnacentral:rRNA from 1 species